rnacentral:rRNA from 1 species
CGGUGAUAAACCGGAGGAAGGUGGGGAUGACGUCAAGUCAUCAUGGCCCUUACGAGUAGGGCUACACACGUGCUACAAUGGCGUAUACAAAGGGAAGCGACCCCGCGAGGGCAAGCGGAACUCAUAAAGUACGUCGUAGUCCGGAUUGGAGUCUGCAACUCGACUCCAUGAAGUCGGAAUCGCUAGUAAUCGUAGAUCAGAAUGCUACGGUGAAUACGUUCCCGGGCCUUGUACACACCGCCCGUCACACCAUGGGAGUGGGUUGCAAAAGAAGU